GAUGAAGACGUAGCGAAAUGCGAUACUUGGUGUGAAUUGCAGAAUCCCGUGAACCAUCGAGUCUUUGAACGCAAGUUGCGCCCGAAGCCAUUAGGCCGAGGGCACGCCUGCCUGGGCGUCACACGUCGUUGCCCCCCCAUCUACUCCUUCGGGAUUGCGGGGGGCGGAUGAUGGCCUCCCGUGCGCCUCGUCGCGCGGUUGGCAUAAAUGCCAAGUCCUCGGCGACGCACGCCACGACAAUCGGUGGUUGCGAAACCUCGGUUGCCCGUCGUGUGCGGUCGUCGCGCAUCGAGGGCUCGAAAAAAUUGCCGGGCUCCGGCUCGGCUUUCAACGCGACCCCAGGUCAGGCGGGGUUACCCGCUGAAUUUAAGCAUAUCAAUAAGCGGAGGA
rnacentral:misc_RNA from 1 species